rnacentral:rRNA from 1 species
UACGUAGGGGGCGAGCGUUAUCCGGAUUUACUGGGUGUAAAGGGAGCGUAGACGGUUCUGCAAGUCUGAAGUGAAAGCCCGUGGCUUAACCGCGGAACGGCUUUGGAAACUGUGGAACUGGAGUGCUGGAGAGGCAAGCGGAAUUCCUAGUGUGGCGGUGAAAUGCGUAGAUAUUAGGAGGAACACCAGUGGCGAAGGCGGCUUGCUGGACAGUAACUGACGUUGAGGCUCGAAAGCGUGGGGAGCAAACAGG